rnacentral:rRNA from 1 species
CCCCACUAGUCUGGGAUACCACUUGGAAACAGGUGCUAAUACCGGAUAGAAAGCGGAUCGCAUGAUCAGCUUUUAAAAGGCGGCGUAAGCUGUCGCUAUGGGAUGGCCCCGCGGUGCAUUAGCUAGUUGGUAAGGUAAAGGCUUACCAACGGCGAUGAUGCAUAGCCGAGUUGAGAGACUGAUCGGCCACAUUGGGACUGAGACACGGCCCAAACUCCUACGGGAGGCAGCAGCC